rnacentral:lncRNA from 1 species
AUGCUCGACGGCCUCCCCGACGUCGACCAGCUCCUCAUCGACGGCCUCCUGCGCAAGGCGAGGGCGUUCCUCCUCAACAUGACCAUCUCCAUGGAGCACCAAGCUUUGACACGCCUCGCGCGGCACAUGCACGACUUGUUCGCCAUCGGACCACUCCACCGCCAAUCUUGGAGAUGUGGUCCGCUGCUCGGACCUCUACUCGCGGCGGCCGUAGAGGGGAGGAACUGCCAGGAGCGAGAGGCGUACGGAGGGCACGACGACGACGACGACGAAGACAUGGGCGGCACACCUCGGGGGCGAAUGGAUCAGUGGCGAGAGAGCGAGAUGGCAGCUGUGCAGCGGAUGGACGAGGCCGUGCAGCUGGGGCAGCCACGCCCCUGUCCACGCCGCCCGCAGGCGACCACCCAUCUCCCUGCGCCCCGUCGGAGAGGGGGAGAGGAGGCCAGGUGGAGUGGGGGGAGAUAAGGCCGGCGGG